rnacentral:rRNA from 1 species
CCCUUAGAUGUUCUGGGCUGCACACGUGCUACACUGGCAGGUUCAGCGAGCUUCAUGCCCUGAUCUGAAAGGAAUGGGGAAUCUUUUCAAAACCUGCCGUGCUUGGGAUAGAUGUUUGCAAUUAUUCAUCUUCAACGAGGAUUGCCUUGUAAGCGCACGUCAUCAGCGUGCAUUGAAUACGACCCUGUAUUCUGUACACACCGCCCGUCGCUCCUACCGAUUGAAGUUUUCGGUGAGUUGACAGGAGGAUUUUUUUGAAACUGGUUCGCCAGUGGAUUUUAGAUCCAAAUGCCAACGAAUCGAUGGCUUUAGAGGAAGGAGAAGUCGUAACA